GAAGCCUCAUGAAAUGUGGUACCAAAACAUCAAUGAAGUCUUACCAGGCACUAUAACUGUUAAGAGUAAAGAUGGACACAAUAUAUUUUAUUUAUUUUUAUGUGGUGCUGAGGAUCGAACCUAGUGCCUCACAUGUGCAAGCUUCCUCUGGAAAUUAGCGCUGUGCUCUCAAAGCUGUGAAAACUCCCUUCAAAAGUGCUGAUUACUAGUUGUAUUAUAGGUUGAGAGGCUGCUCCAAUAAAGACCCCCUACACUUCAAAAGCUGACUUCUGGACUUGGUGUUCUUGAUUUCUGUCAGUAGUGGAAUACACUUUGAGAGGACAGAUGUACAUUCCUUUAACAUUCUUGAUGAAUCAGAGAAAUCGAUACCCUGCAUCUCCAAAGCAAAACAAACAAACAAACAAAAAAACCCAGCAGGAGUCCUGAGCAAAGACAGUGAUUUCCUGUGCUGUGUCCCUUGGUACCAAUAAUGGCCCAGGGAACAGGAGACAGGAAAAGUUGGGAAAAAGACACAACUUCAGCCAAAGGAAGGGUAAACACUGGAGGAGACAGUUCCUUAGGGCAGAGUGGGAGCUGUGACUACUGGAAUUCAAGUCUACGUCUUCAACACAUCUACAGGGUUUUCCUGAUUGGGAAGUAGGGCACAAAUGGACUCGGGGUAACUGGGAGAUGAUGAAGAAGAAAGGGUGUAUGAAAGGGCUACAGAAUUUUGCUGCAUAAAACAUUCUACCCACACUUGCAUCUUAGAAAUACAACACAAUUUAUCUGUUAAAAAAAUGUUUGGGUGGGACAGGAAGUGAAAGAAGAUGGCAUGCUGAACAGGUUUUAUGUGUUGUGUAUUUUUAGUAUAUAUAUCACAGAGGUUGGUCUUGAUGUAUUUUCUUUAAAAUUUUGCUUUUAGUUAUGCUUAUUUGUUGUUCUUUAUCAUGUGAAAGAUU